AGCAGCCGCGGUAAUUCCAGCUCCAAUAGCGUAUAUUAAAGUUGUUGCAGUUAAAAAGCUCGUAGUUGAAUUUCGAGAUCAGUACGCUGGUCGUGCCUUCGGUAUGCACUGGUGUCACUGGUUUCUCCCUUCUGAAGAACCGUUAUGUCAUUAAGUUGGUGUGGCGGGGAAUCAGGACUGUUACUUUGAAAAAAUUAGAGUGUUUAAAGCAGGCUCGCGCUUGAAUACAUUAGCAUGGAAUAAUGAAAUAGGACGUUUGACCCUAUUUUGUUGGUUUCUAGGAUCGACGUAAUGAUUAAUAGGGAUAGUUGGGGGCAUUAGUAUUCAAUUGUCAGAGGUGAAAUUCUUGGAUUUAUUGAAGACUAACUACUGCGAAAGCAUUUGCCAAGGAUGUUUUCAUUAAUCAAGAACGAAAGUUAGGGGAUCGAAGACGAUCAGAUACCGUCGUAGUCUUAACCAUAAACUAUGCCGACUAGGGAUCGGAUGAUGUUAAUUUUUUAAUGACUCAUUCGGCGCCUUACG
rnacentral:rRNA from 1 species